UACGUAGGGGGCAAGCGUUGUCCGGAAUUAUUGGGCGUAAAGAGCGUGUAGGCGGCCAGAUAAGUCCGCUGUGAAAUCUCGAGGCUCAACUUCGAGCUGUCGGUGGAAACUAUCUGGCUAGAGUCCGGAAGAGGAGAAUGGAAUUCCUGGUGUAGCGGUGAAAUGCGCAGAUAUCGGGAGGAACACCAAUGGCGAAGGCAGCUCGCUGGGACGGUACUGACGCUGAGGCGCGAAAAGCGUGGGGAGCAAACAGG
rnacentral:rRNA from 1 species